UACGUAGGGUGCAAGCGUUGUCCGGAAUUAUUGGGCGUAAAGAGCUCGUAGGCGGUUUGUCGCGUCGAAUGUGAAAACCCGGGGCUCAACCCCGGGCCUGCAUUCGAUACGGGCAGACUAGAGUUCGGUAGGGGGAGUCUGGAAUUCCUGGUGUAGCGGUGAAAUGCGCAGAUAUCAGGAGGAACACCGGUGGCGAAGGCGGCGAUCUGGGAAGAUACUGACGCUGAGGUGCGAAAGCGUGGGGAGCAAACAGG
rnacentral:rRNA from 1 species